AUGAUGACCUACAAAAGCCACAGAUCCAUUUCAGAUCUUCCUUUCUCUGUCUUUUGUCUUUCAGGGUGUGUUCAGUCUCUCCUCCCUCCCACUUCAGUCUGUUUAACCCCCUGUGCUAUGGAAAGCUCUUCUCCCCUGACAACACCAGGAGGUUUUGACUCAAAUCAUCCAACCUGUGGGGAGACCCACUGCAGCGGCCAUGGCUCCUGUGUGGCUCCUCUGGGUGGCGGUUUCAGUCUGGUCUGUGACUGCCAUCUGGGCUACCAGGGCAAGUCCUGCGAGGGCACGGUCAACGGAGCGAUGAGUUUACCGCUGACCAUAAGUGUGUUAGCCGUCAUCAUCGGGCUGCUGAUCUUCGCUUUUGUCUUUGCCAAGUUUAGACAGAAGCAUAAGAAGAAAAAGAGACAACGUCUGGCAGAAAAUCACAGCUAUAACAUCAGCAUAUAAGGUGCACAAGUCUCAGGAGAUCUGAGAUUUUUAAUGUGUUGUCAAGCAAGGGGACUCAAGAAUGUGUUCUUGUUUAAACCGCGGCUGCUCAGAUGCUAAAACUUUACUGACAAACUGAAGCACUUUGGCCGACUUCAUCCAUCCAACAGCAAGCAUCACUCUGAUGGGACCUCCAGUUCA
rnacentral:lncRNA from 1 species